UCACUUACCUGGACGGGGUUUAUGAGUGAUCGUGUAAACUCAUAGCCUAGGUUGUUGACCACCAUUUCACAUUGCGGAGGAGCAGCUGCUUAAGAUCUCCUCAAGAGGAGGAGUCUACGUUAUAAUUUGUGGUAAUGGGGGCUUGCGUUCGUGCGGCCCCUGU